CACGUAGGGGGCAAGCGUUGUCCGGAUUUAUUGGGCGUAAAGAGCUCGUAGGCGGCUCAGUAAGUCAGGUGUGAAACCUCCAGGCUCAACCUGGAGACGCCACCUGAUACUGCUGUGGCUAGAGUCCGGUAGGGGAGCGUGGAAUUCAUGGUGUAGCGGUGAAAUGCGCAGAUAUCAGGAGGAACACCAGCGGCGAAGGCGGCGCUCUGGGCCGGAACUGACGCUGAGGAGCGAAAGCGUGGGUAGCAAACAGG
rnacentral:rRNA from 1 species